AGAGUGAACGCUGGCGGCAGGCCUAACACAUGCAAGUCGAACGGCAGCACAGGGGAGCUUGCUCCCUGGGUGGCGAGUGGCGGACGGUGAGGAAUACAUCGGAAUCUGCCCAAUCGUGGGGGAUAACGUAGGGAAACUUACGCUAAUACCGCAUACGACCUUCGGGUGAAAGCGUGGGACCGCAAGGCCACGCGCGAUUGGAUGAGCCGAUGUCGGAUUAGCUUGUGGCGGGUAAAGCCCGACAAGGCGACGAUCCGUAGCUGGUCUGAGAGGAUGAU
rnacentral:rRNA from 1 species